rnacentral:lncRNA from 1 species
CCAAAGGACUUCCUUGCAUGCCGAAAGGUGCCACAGCGCCCUGCAACCAGAUGAAGGUAGCAUUGUUGACGUCCAUUACGAGGACGUGUGGUCAUGACGCGCUACAGGGUAAAAAAGCCUUGAGUGUAGCGAAUGUGAUGACAUCACGCAAGUGCUCACAUCUGGGAGCUUGAGGACUUAUGGCGCGGUACACAUAUACAUAAAUAUGUACAGUCAUGCCCCAGAGCACUUCGUUCCACGCUGAUAUGUCCUGC